AUUGAACGCUGGCGGCAGGCCUAACACAUGCAAGUCGAACGAACUCUUCGGAGUUAGUGGCGGACGGGUGAGUAACACGUGGGAACGUGCCUUUAGGUUCGGAAUAACUCAGGGAAACUUGUGCUAAUACCGAAUGUGCCCUUCGGGGGAAAGAUUUAUCGCCUUUAGAGCGGCCCGCGUCUGAUUAGCUAGUUGGUGAGGUAAAGGCUCACCAAGGCGACGAUCAGUAGCUGGUCUGAGAGGAUGAUCAGCCACAUUGGGACUGAGACACGGCCCAAACUCCUACGGGAGGCAGCAGUGGGGAAUCUUGCGCAAUGGGCGAAAGCCUGACGCAGCCAUGCCGCGUGAAUGAUGAAGGUCUUAGGAUUGUAAAAUUCUUUCACCGGGGACGAUAAUGACGGUACCCGGAGAAGAAGCCCCGGCUAACUUCGUGCCAGCCGCCGCCGUAA
rnacentral:rRNA from 1 species